GGGUCAAAGCAUACUAAUCAGCCAAGACAGCCGCUUCCCGCACAGUGUUAACCUGGCGCUCGUUUAGGUAGGUAUGAAGAGAUAUUGAGCUUAGUUUGGCCUUGACCAUGGAUGCACUGGCCGAUCCUAAGUUGACAGUUGUUUUGGGGGGGAAUAGAGAAAGGUUGCAGAAGAGAUGGUGGCCAACGGAUAUAAAGAGGGUCAGUAAACUGGGGGAUGGAAUAAGGUGGGUAAUAAGAAUGGAGGCCAAAAGAAAGUAAAAUGGUCAGUGGAUAUAAUGAGCAGGAACUGGGUUAGCCAGAGUGGGAUAAGAGUAGGGGUUAGGUUUAGGAUAGGGGUAGGGGUUAGGAUUAGGAUGGGGGUAGGGGGCAGUGUUGAGUUUAGAUGAGAGGUCCAAAAAAUUGUGUUGAAAUUAAGGAGAGAUAAAGAAAAAGGGGGGGAGUGGGGGUUAAGGUUAUGGGGCCUAGACUGGAGUCCAAGAUGAGUUGAGGUGUAAGUGCUUUUAAGUAAGUGCUCGGGAACAAAUUUAGGAAAAAUGGAAAGAGCCAAGCAGAACAAGGUGAGUGGGUGACAAACAAAAGGUAAAAACUACAACGAAAAAGUGCAUAGGGUGGAUCCAGUCCAGAGCUCGGUGAAAGUUAGGGAGAGGGGCCAGGGUGAACCUCUGCGGAAUGGAUGAUGGAUGUGGAUUGGGGGAGAAUGAUAAAAAGGUAAAGGGGUGAAUCAUUCAUGUAGAGUAAAUCAAAGAUAAAAAAUAGAGAUGUAGUUAAAUAUUUGGAUACAUAUUUAUAGAUAAUAAUAAAUAAUAAAUAUUAGAGAAAAUUAAAAGAGGAAUGUAAAAAGGUUCAUUAAGACAUACCAACAAAAGGACGAAUCUGGAAGAGGAAAGAAAGGAAAGCAAAAGGUGAGGGAUGAAAAAGUAAAAGGGUCAGAAAAGAGGGGGGGGGGGGGGGGCAGAGGGCUAGGGUGGAUACUGGGAUAAAAUGGAGGCCAAAGAAAAUAAGAAAGUCAGUAAAAACAGAUAAGAAAAGAUAAGAAUGAUCUAACUAAAAGAUGAUAAAGAAUGUCAAACUGACUGUUGGUAACAUCAUGAAAAUAAUACAAGGAGGGACAGAAGAGGA
ensembl:lncRNA